rnacentral:rRNA from 1 species
AGUUCGAUCCUGGCUCAGAUUGAACGCUGGCGGGAUGCUUUACAUGCAGUCAGGCGGCAGCACGGACUUCGGUCUGGUGGCGAGUGGCGAACGGGUGAGUAAUGUAUCGGAACGUGCCUAAAUAGCGGGGGAUAACUACGCGGCAAUACGUAUGCCGCAUACGCCCUUCAGGGAAAGCGAGACCGGGCCUCGCACUAUUAGAGCGGCCGAUAUCGGAUUGUAGCUGGUUGGUGGAGUAACGGCUCACCAAGGCGACGAUCCGUAAGCGCUGGUUUGAGAGGACGACCAGCCACACUGGGACUGAGACGGCCCAGACUCCUACGAGGCACAGCAGUGAGGAAUUUUGGACAAUGAAACCUGAUCCAGCCAUCCCGCGUGUGCGAUGAAGGCCUUCAGGUUGUAAAGCACUUUUGGCAGAAAAAACGGCACGGGAUAAUACCCCGUGCAACUGACGGUACCUGCAGAAUAAGCACCGGCUAACUACGUGCCAGCAGCCGCGUGUACGUAGGGGUGCAAGCGUUAAUCGGAAUUACUGGGCGUAAAGCGUGCGCAGGCGGUUCGGAAAGAAAGAUGUGAAAUCCCAGAGCUUAACUUUGGAACUGCGUUUUUAACUACCGAGCUAGAAGAGAGUGUGUCAGAGGAGGUGGAAUUCCGCGUGUAGCAGUGAAAUGCGUAGAUAUGCGGAGGAACACCGAUGGCGAAGGCAGCCUCCUGGGAUAACACUGACGCUCAUGCACGAAAGCGUUGGGGAGCAAACGGGAUUAGAUACCCUGGUAGUCCACGCCCUAAACGAUGUCAACUAGCUGUUGGGGCCUUCAGGCCUUGGUAGCGCAGCUAACGCGUGAAGUUGACCGCCUGGGAAGUACGGUCGCAAGAUUAAAACUCAAAGGAAUUGACGGGGACACUGGCGGUGGAUGAUGUGGAUUAAUUCGAUGCAACGCGAAAAACCUUACCUACCCUUGACAUGUCUGGAAUCGAAGAGAUUUACGGGGUGCUCGCAAGAGAACCGGAACACAGGUGCUGCAUGGCUGUCGUCAGCUCGUGUCGUGAGAUGUUGGGUUAAGUCCCGCAACGAGCGCAACCCUUGUCAUUAGUUUACUGAAAGGAAAGACCUCAGCUGAGACUGCCGGUGACAAACCGGAGGAAGGUGGGGAUGACGUCAAGUCCUCAUAGCCAUAUGGGUAGGAGCUACACGUCGCGUGGUCGGGACAGAGGGUCGCCAACCCGCGAGGGGGAGCCAAUCCCAGAAACCCGAUCGUAGUCCGGAUCGCAGUCUGCAACUCGACUGCGUGAAGUCGGAGAUCGCUAAGUAAUCGCGGAUCAGCAUGUCGCGGUGAAUACGUUCCCGGGUCUUGUACACACCGCCCGUCACACCAUGGGAGUGGGUUUUACCAGAAGUAGUUAGCCUAACCUUAGGAGGGCGAUUACCACGGUAGGAUUCAUGACUGGGGUAGAAGUCGUAACAAGGUAA